rnacentral:rRNA from 1 species
CCUACGGGCGGCAGCAGUGGGGAAUAUUGGACAAUGGGGGCAACCCUGAUCCAGCCAUGCCGCGUGUGUGAAGAAGGCCCUCGGGUUGUAAAGCACUUUCAGUGAGGAAGAACGCCUGGUGGUUAAUACCCAUCAGGAAAGACAUCACUCACAGAAGAAGCACCGGCUAACUCCGUGCCAGCAGCCGCGGUAAUACGGAGGGUGCGAGCGUUAAUCGGAAUUACUGGGCGUAAAGCGCGCGUAGGUGGCUUGAUAAGCCGGUUGUGAAAGCCCCGGGCUCAACCUGGGAACGGCAUCCGGAACUGUCAAGCUAGAGUGCAGGAGAGGAAGGUAGAAUUCCCGGUGUGGCGGUGAAAUGCGUAGAGAUCGGGAGGAAUACCAGUGGCGAAGGCGGCCUUCUGGACUGACACUGACACUGAGGUGCGAAAGCGUGGGUAGCAAACAGGAUUAGAUACCCGAGUAGUC